UUGUGUAGAUGGACCAGCCGUUCUCUGGCUUUGAGCUGACCUUCAUCAUCGUUGCCUUCGUUAUUUUUUCACUCUUCAGUUUGGCUUCAGUCUGCAUCCAACCAGAAAAAGAACAUCCAGAAGAAGGUGUCUAUGAUGCAAAGAAGUCAAGGUCGUCUAACAGAAAGCUGAGAGUGAUCACCAAGCAAGCUGGACAGAAGCCAUAAAGUCAGAGAUCUCUAUCUUGAGCUAGUGUACUACAGGGUUUUCAAUGUACUGUGAAGUUCUCACAAUUGACUCAUGAUUAACUAAAAACAUUUUUCAAAUUAAAUAAUGUCAUUAUGGCACAUAGUGUUGAGUUUUCCUAAUAAAAAGGCAACAAUAAACUUGU